rnacentral:rRNA from 1 species
UACGUAGGGACCGAGCGUUGUCCGGAUUCAUUGGGCGUAAAGAGCUCGUAGGCGGCCACUCAAGUCGAAUGUGAAACCUCGAGGCUUAACCUCGAGCCUGCAUUCGAUACUGGGCGGCUAGAGUCUGGUAGGGGGAUCUGGAAUUCCUGGUGUAGCGGUGAAAUGCGUAGAUAUCUGGAGGAACACCGGUGGCGAAGGCGGCAUCCUGGGCCGGUAUUGACGCUGAGGAGCGAAAGCCAGGGGAGCAAACGGG